rnacentral:lncRNA from 1 species
CUCCAGAUCUGAUCUUCUACCCCCAACACCCUAAGAAUCAGAGCUUGGGGUGUGGUACUUUAGGAUUAUCAGAUCUGGACUUGAAUCAUUGAUGAGGAGGAGUUCUUGUUGGAGUAGAACUCCAUGGCAACAUCUCCAUAUUGCAGUCUUUACCUCGUGCUCUCUAUCUUGGCCCCUACACACCUGUGAUUUGAACCAAAUCAGAGCUUAAAUUUUCCCAAG